GUUCUUCCUGUGGUUUACAGAAUAAAAAGGUGUGCUAUGGCAGAAGUGUAGAUAUAAAUUUCAAGUCAGUUUAUACGAACGAAAAGCUGUAUUUGUAUCCAAGAGAAGGAGAAAGGAAAUUACUGAUGGAUAAUCGAGAAGUGAGUGUUAUUUGACAAUAAAAAUCUACAUGUAUUGCCCAUACAAACAUUUUAAGGUGAGUCUCUGUUAAUAACAGUUUGUUUUUACUCUCUCUUAGGUUAAGGAUCCACGACUUCAAGUUUACACUAACUCAGUAAAAUUUACACAAUUGACUGAAAAAGAUAGUGGAAAAUUUGCCAUUUCAACCUUUCAUGGAGAAGUCUCAUAUUUAUUCUCACUGACAAUCUUGGGUGAGAACUUCACAGUUUUUGUAUUCCUUUUCUGUCAAAUGCUGAUUUAAUUUAACUAAAUGCAAGAAAGCUGAACCCACUGCAAAAAACAACCUAAAAUCAUCUAAAUAUGAGCUAAAGGUGUUUUUAUAAUACAUCACAAUAAAGGUUUAUUGAAGUGUGAUCAUAAAAUCCCAAUUCAUUCAAACUGUGGUUACAGAUUCACAUCAUUCAACUGUAUUUUAUUUCCAAUUAGCAUUGUUUGUGUUUUCUUUCAGAUUGUUCAGUGGACAUAUCAUUGUUUUAUGGGAAGGAGUUGGUGCGCACUGUUCCUAGCAAUGCUGAACUCCUGGAAUUCACCCCCUUUCACAGCCUAGACCAGCCUCAGCUUAUGUGGGACCGUUCAAACCCUCACAACAAUUAUGGAGGACGGGGGAAAGUAAGCGGAGACGUCUUUAGGAUUUCCAAAGUCACCCAGGAAGACAACGGCUACUACAACUUUAGACAAAAAAAACAAAACUGUGGUGUUACGGCUAAAACUCACUGUUGAAGGUAAUGCUGGGAGAAUAAUGAAAGCUAUUUUUGAGACAGUCCACUGCACAAGUCAGUAUUUUGUUAUAAAUUAAGAUGUUCUCUUUUACAGAAGAUACCUAUUACUAUGAUUUUGAAGAAUCCGAGGACAUCUUCCUUCAAUUUCCUUGGGCCAGUAGAGACUGGACUGUCACUUUUAAGCCAUAUUACAACGACGAUGAAGAAAUAACAAUCAUAAAAGCAGGAAGUGUAGUCAGAAGCAGCAACCCUUUCCAUCACAAAAUUACAAUGAAAGAUUCUGGCAUAAAUAUCUGUUGCAUAAAAAGUGGAGAUGCUGGCACCUUUAAGUUCAGAGACCCUGCAGGAAACCUGGCUUUGGUUUCUCGUGUGCAAAUUAAUGAAUUUCAUCAUUCAAGGCCAGAUUCCACAAUUGCUGUUUUUAUUAUUGUCGCUAUUAUUGUGGCUGUCCUUGGGGUUCUCUGCUGUUGCUGUUACUGUUGCAAAAAGGGGUGCUGUAAAACAACAGAGCCUCGUUCUCUGAUAGCUCAGAGUGCAACUGAGCCUAAAGUGUAUUAUCAUGGUUUAAAUAAGACCGAAGGUUCAAGAUUUUCUGCUCCACCUUAUCCUGCAGCAUUCCCUCCUCCAGCAGUGAAUGCUGGGAUUUCUCAUGCUGCUGCUGCUGCUUCUUCUGGACCUGUGGAACAUGAACCAACAAAUGAGAAUGCAAAUAUUUCUCAGCCUGAGGUUGCACCUCCAGCUUCAGAGAACUCUGCUCCCUCUUCAUCUUCCGGUUACAACCCUGUGUCUUCAGACUAUCAGCCAAUGUUUGAGCCACACUAUCCAACAUACGAGAUUAGGAACAUAUCUCAGCCUAAGGUCACAGCUGGAGCUUCAGAGCAAUCUGCUCCGUCUUCAUCUUAUGGUUACAACCCUCUGUCUUCAGACUAUCAACCAAUGUUUGAGGUGAAAGGACUAAGCUCUACCUUUGACCUUCCACUCAGUACAGAAAAGUCUUCUGCAGAUGUUUACAAUUCAGAUAAAAUGAACUUUCUGUAACAAGGAAUUAUAGUGCUCUAAUACAUGGCCCAUUAGGGGGAGUAUUGUUAUAGAAUCUGCGCUGUAGAUAUGAGACAGAGGAUACAAGUCGUUUCACUUUCUCCUUGAUAACAGGGAAUCACAUGGAAAGUUAUUGUAAAAAUGAUCAUCAGUGCACUGAUAUUUAUGAAUUAUAUCAGUAUAAAUGUUUUGAUUAAAAUUAAAUUAGAAAAAAUUGACUUAUAAAGUAUGUUCUACUGCCUAUAGAAGAGUUAGAGGUUCAAGAUGUUGGAUAUAUCCAGAACAUGAACACCUUCAACACCCCAAACCUCAAAUGUUGCUUUAACUGCUAAAAGUUUCUAGAGCAAACUAUUUGGGUUACCACUGCUACUUCUACUACUGAUUACUGAGUCACAUUUUGGGGCAGAGGUAGAGCGGUCAACCUCUGAUUGGAGAAUCACAGGUUCAGGUCCUGCUUUGCGUGCCCACAAGUCGAAAUGUUCAAGAGAAAAACACUAAACCUCACGUUGCUCCUGGAGGUCAUUGGAAGACGUCAGUAUUCAGCAUUGGUGUUUACAUUUGUAUGUGCAUGGGUGAAUAGGAUGGUGACUGUAAAGUUUUUUGGACCUUCCAAGAGGGCAGUAAAAGCACCAUAAAAGUAUGCACUUUAUACAUUUUUUAGCAUUUAAUCAAUCUACCAGUUUUUUUAUGUUUUGACAUUUCUAAGAUGUUUCGGUAACACUUUAUAAUAAGAUUCCAUGACAAGCUUUAUUAACACAUUAACAAACAUUAUUAAUGUGCUUAUAGGAUGUUUAUAAGAUAUUUAUAAGCAUAAAUAAGCCAAAUACAGUUUAUAUACAUACUUAGUAAGAUUUAUUAUCAUCUAAAAUGAGACCCAUUGUUUAUGAAGGCUAUAUCAACAAACUGUUAACAAGCUUAACAAAUGUGUUAACAAUCUUUGUCAACGUUACAUUUAGUGAUUUGCAGCACCUCAUCUAAAGUGUUACCGAUGUUUCUGUAUGUUUUUUGUAUAAACUUAUACUGGUUUUAUUUAAAGGGUAUAAAACAAACUUUAAUGUGUGAAAUUAAUCAUUUAAUGUGUUUGUCUAUUUUCUUGUUAAACUGCUUUUAUCUUGAUGAGUUUGUACCAAAUAUAUUUCUACUGGUUAUUUUAUUAAACUAUUGAAAUGCU
ensembl:lncRNA